rnacentral:misc_RNA from 1 species
UUUGAAUGGUGUAAGGCUCCUGAGAUUGGGCUGCUGGCCCCAGAUCUUGUACUGUACCUUGACAUACCGCCUGAGAAAGCUGCAGAAAGAGGAGGCUAUGGUGGUGAAAGAUAUGAGAAACUUGAAUUCCAGAGGAAAGUUGCUGAAUGCUAUCUGGCCCUUCGUGAUCCCUCUUGGAAGAUCAUAGAUGGGUGCCAAUCCAUGGAAGAGAUUCAAAAACAACUUCAACAGAUUGUGUUGGAUCAUGUUAUAGCAUGU